rnacentral:rRNA from 1 species
GUAGGGGGCUAGCGUUGUCCGGAUUUAUUGGGCGUAAAGAGCGUGUAGGCGGCCAGGUAGGUCCGGUGUGAAAACCCGAGGCUUAACCUCGAGAUGUCAUCGGAAACCAUCUGGCUAGAGUCCGGAAGAGGAGAGUGGAAUUCCUGGUGUAGCGGUGAAAUGCGCAGAUAUCAGGAAGAACACCUAUGGCGAAAGCAGCUCUCUGGGACGGUACUGACGCUGAGACGCGAAAGCGUGGGGAGCGAACAGGAUUAGAUACCCUGGUAGUCCACGCCGUAAACGAUGGGUGCUAGGUGUGGGCGGUGUCGACUCCGUCCGUGCCGAAGCUAACGCAUUAAGCACCCCGCCUGGGGAGUACGGCCGCAAGGCUA